CCUACGGGAGGCAGCAGUGGGGGAUAUUGCACAAUGGGGGAAACCCUGAUGCCGCGACGCCGCGUGGGUGAAGAAGUAUUUCGGUAUGUAAAGCCCUAUCAGCAGGGAAGAAAGAAGACGGUACCUGACUAAGAAGCCCCGGCUAACUACGUGCCAGCAGCCGCGGUAAUACGUAGGGGGCGAGCGUUCUCCGGAUUCACUGGGUGUAAAGGGAGCGUAGACGGCCGUGCAAGCCAGGAGUGAAAGCCCGGGGCCCAACCCCGGGACUGCUCUUGGAACUGUGCGGCUGGAGUGCGGGAGGGGCAGGCGGAAUUCCUGGUGUAGCGGUGAAAUGCGUAGAUAUCAGGAGGAACACCGGCGGCGAAGGCGGCCUGCUGGACCGCGACUGACGUUGAGGCUCGAAAGCGUGGGGAGCGAACAGGAUUAGAUACCCUUGUAGUC
rnacentral:rRNA from 1 species